rnacentral:tRNA from 2 species
GCCGAUGUAGCUCAGUUGGUCAGAGCAGCUGAUUUGUAAUCAGCAGGCCGUGGGUUCGAAUCCCUCCAUCGGCU